GUCAAGAGGCAGGGCUGGAGAGACCAGCGCGUUUACUUUCAGUGGGCUACUGUACAACCAACUGUUCGUAGCCCGGCGCCAAGGCUGUCAAUACGCACAAGCGGAUCUCUUUCUGCAAGGGAUACAUUUUCGAAGAAACUCCACCCGCCCCCCCCAGCCCCUCACAAAAAAGAACAAGAAAAAACGAUUUCUCCCACUUCAGCGACCACUAGCUCCGAUGCGAGAAACAAUAUUUGCUCCGAGAUAAUUCAGAAGAAGAAGCCAAGUGGCUGGUGCGAUUCACAUCCGUUCUCUCAGACAAAUGACCAGACUAUGUGGCCUUGAUCUCGGUUCCUCCCCCCAAGCUUGCCAUUAAGCACGAUGUCGACCACCGUGGAAAAUGGGAUGGGAGGGUUUUCCAACACGAGCAGAGAGAAAACCUACAAGAAGACCACGUCGUCAGCGCUGAAAGGGGCCAUUCAGCUGGGCAUUGGCUACACCGUGGGCAACCUGACCUCCAAGCCCGACAGAGAUGUCCUCAUGCAAGACUUCUAUGUGGUGGAGAGCGUCUUUCUUCCAAGUGAGGGCAGCAACCUCACACCGGCCCACCACUACCCUGACUUCCGCUUCAAAACCUACGCGCCUCUGGCUUUCCGCUACUUCAGGGACCUGUUUGGCAUCAAGCCGGAUGACUACCUGUACUCUCUGGUGAACGAGCCUCUAAUCGAGCUCUCAAACCCGGGGGCCAGCGGCUCGCUCUUCUACCUGACCAGCGACGACGAGUUCAUCAUCAAAACGGUCCAACACAAGGAGGCCAAGUUCCUGCAGAGACUGCUGCCCGGUUACUACAUGAACCUGAACCAGAACCCGCGCACGCUGCUGCCCAAGUUCUACGGCCUCUACUGCAUCCAGUCGGGCGGCAUCAACAUCCGCCUGGUGGUGAUGAACAACGUGCUGCCUCGCUCGGUGCACAUGAACUACAUGUACGACCUCAAGGGCUCCACCUACAAGAGGCGGGCCUCCAGGAAGGAGCGGGAGAAGGCCAAUCCCACCUACAAGGACCUGGACUUCCAGGACAUGCUGGACGGCCUGUACUUUGACACAGAGACCUACAACAACCUCAUGAAGACCCUCCAAAGGGAUUGCCGGGUCCUGGAGAGCUUUAAGAUCAUGGACUACAGCCUGCUGCUGGGGGUGCACGUGCUGGACCAGCAGCAGAGGGAGGGCGGGGAGGCGGGGCCUGCCCCGGGGGGCGGGGACGGCAAGCGGCCCGUGGUGCAGAGGGUGCUCUACUCCACCGCCCUGGAGUCCAUCCAGGGGGACGGCAAGGCGGCCGAGGCCCUCACCACGGACCACACGAUGGGCGGAAUCCCGGCGAAAUCGCACAAAGACGAAAAGCUGCUUAUAUUCCUGGGAAUAAUCGAUAUUCUGCAGUCAUACAGGUUCAUCAAGAAGCUGGAGCACUCGUGGAAAGCGCUGGUUUACGACGGCGACUCGGUCUCGGUGCACCGGCCUGGUUUCUACGCCAACCGCUUCAUGAAGUUCAUGAGCACGCGGGUGUUCCGGAAGACGCAGACCAUCCGUUUCUCCCCGUCCAAGAGGACGCGCUCCUCCAUCCCGGCGCUCAAGUCCUCCUCCCAGGAGAUCCUGUCGUUGCAGGGCGAGGAGCAGCCGGAGGAGCGGGACCACCGGGGGGGAGAGAGGCUGGCGGGGGCCCGCAGCCUGGCCAGCCUGGACGGACAAGCUGUGUUCGGCUGCUACCUGCGCCCAGACCUGGUCCCCCCCCACUCGUCCUGCUACAACGGCUCCUCCAUGGGAACCAUCUCCACAUCCUCCAUCUUUGUCAACCUGGACUCCCAGACAGAACCCAGAAGCCAGACACAUGUGACAAAGACGACCUGGCCUCCAGCUCCACCUUCACCCUGGAGGACAGUGCCAUCUGCCUGACCUCGGAGCAGAGCACCCUGGACGUGGACGUCGACCGUGACGACGGCUCCGUGCUGGACGUCUACUUGUGAAAGGAACGGCUUCUCCACUCGACGCACUCCCUCCGGUUCCACCCUCGACCAGUCAUCCCGACAAUCCACUCCACUGCUCUCCACGGGGAAGGGUUCUUCAGUCCAGCCGGAGCUCUGCAGCUGGAUCCACUCCGCCACUUGUAUUGCCAAAACAUAAGCAAAAAGCCGGUACCGCAGAAGGACCUCUAGGGGGAAAACGCAUCAAUCCAAUCAAUAGUAGAUUCUAGACUUUCAUAGGAAAACCGAGACAUUCCAGCUUACUGUCCUAUCGUGACCCACCUCAGGCUCCAACUGAGUGGUGUCGCAACCAGAGUACGUAUCAGUGCUAUGCCAUUCACUUUUAUACAUAUACAUGUCAAAACACUAUUUUCAUGAUCCGAAGAUAAGAGCGUUUAAAGAAGAAAGGAGAAAAAAAACAAUAUAUUGCAGGAGGUAUAAAACCAAUACAUUUGUAUUCACUUGUUUCGUCUUUCUGCAAACGAGAAAGAGAUGACUAGUGUUUUGUCAAAGUAUGGCUGCUCCUAUUGUUCUCCCGGAUGUUUACAGUGAAUCCGUGAAGGCAUCCUCGUUCAAAGGUGGACGGAGGCACUGUCACACAGGAAAAAGGAACUCAAGCCACCGUGAAUACCCUCAUAAAGGAGUAGAAAGACAAGACGGCCGCAACGGAUGAACCGCCUUUUGAAAGCAAUCACCAAGGCCGAACACGGACGGUGUGUUGUGAUUGGGCGACUCAGCUCUGCAUCAUUAUCCUUGCGAAGGACUUCUCGAUGGAUGCACCGUUUUAAAGGGGGCCACCAUGCACAGAGGAUGUGGUGACCAGGAAGAAACAAGGCGUAGCCAUGCACCCGUUUCGAUGGUCCUAUGUGGAGCAAGACUCUCUGGACGUUUGGUUUAUCAUCAGCGUUCAGUAACUUCCUGGAUCUGAGGCGUUCAGUGUGUCGGGGUAAAACGAGGUUACCCGGUCUAAGCAAAGGACGAGUGAAUAUGCACAAAUAGCUUUUUUCUCAAUUGUUUUUUCUAACAUGCACACAACCGCUCUGUAUGUCGUCACUAGUUCAGUACGCACAGAUGAUGAGACUUUUUGUAGGUGAUUUUGAUGUGGAACUUAAUAUUUUUUAUGAGGUUUGUGUCACGAAUGAUGAGGCCUUCAUUUUAGCAUAUCACUUGAUCCUGGAGAAGUGUACGACUGCACCACAAAGCGAGGCCUGCGCCCCACAAUACGAGGCUGUCCAAUAGCUCUUCGUGAAGACAUUGAAUUGUGUUGAAUUGCUUGAUCACAUCUGUCAUUUUUAGAACUAUAAUUUAUUAUAUAAAUAUCUAUAGCUAUACUGUUUUGCUUGAAAAACAUAGCUGAAUGUAAAGACAAUGUGUAUUUAUAUAUAGAGAGAAUAGGGUCCUAUAAAACGGUUGAAAAUA